AUUUUCUCUGACGACAGGGUGACACCCACACAGACCCUGAUAAGGACCGCGUGUUUCCCGAGAACCAGAACGAAUCCGUCUGGGUUGGAGGCACCUGCCCUGGCCCUCGCCCCUGGCCCCGGCCCAGCCCUAGCACGCGUGUGUGGAACGAACGAGCAGACGAACAACGGGAGUGGCAGGAGUGACAAUUCGAGACGGCUCUGACUCCCAAACGGCGAUACCAUUGCAGAAGAGACCCCACUUUCUGCCUGCUAACGCCGUCCUCUGGAUCACAUCUACCAGCCAAGGCAGAGCCACGUGCACCGAUGCAGACUGCGCUCCUGCACCCCUUGUACCCCAGCCCCCACCCCCCA